rnacentral:rRNA from 1 species
AGAGUUUGAUCCUGGCUCAGAUUGAACGCUGGCGGCAUGCCUAACACAUGCAAGUCGAACGGUAACAGCGGGAGCUUGCUCCUGGCUGACGAGUGGCGGACGGGGGAGUAACGCGUAGGAAUCUGCCUGAUAGAUGGGGACAACUCAUACCGCAUAAGCCCUACGGUGGAAAGAUUUAUUGCCAAAAGACGGACCCGCGUUGGAUUAGCUAGUUGGUGAGGAAAUGGCUCACCAAGGCGACGAUCCAUAGCUGGUUUGAGAGGAUGAUCAGCCACACUGGAACUGAGACACGGUCCAGACUCCUACGGGAGGCAGCAGUGGGGAAUAUUGCACAAUGGAGGAAACUCUGAUGCAGCCAUGCCGCGUGAGUGAAGAAGGCCUUAGGGUUGUAAAACUCUUUCACCAGGGAAGAUGAUGACGGUACCUGGAGAAGAAGCACCGGCUAACUCCGUGCCAGCAGCCGCGGUAAUACGGAGUGUGCUAGCGUAGUUCGGAAUUACUGGGCGUAAAGGGCUCGCAGGCGGUACGGAAAGUAUAGGGUGAAAUCCCAGGGCUUAACCCUGGAACUGCCUUAUAAACUCCCGGUCUUGAGUUCGAGAGAGGUGAGUGGAAUUCCGAGUGUAGAGGUGAAAUUCGUAGAUAUUCGGAGGAACACCAGUGGCGAAGGCGGCUCACUGGCUCGAUACUGACGCUGAGGUACGAAAGUGUGGGGAGCAAACAGGAUUAGAUACCCUGGUAGUCCACACCGUAAACGAUGAAUGCCAGUCGUCGGGUAGCAUGCUAUUCGGUGACACACCUAACGGAUUAAGCAUUCCGCCUGGGGAGUACGGUCGCAAGAUUAAAACUCAAAGGAAUUGACGGGGGCCCGCACAAGCGGUGGAGCAUGUGGUUUAAUUCGAAGCUUAUCGCAGAACCUUACCAACCCUUUACAUCCUAUGACAACCCGAGAGAUCGGGCUUUCCUUCUCGGGACAUCGUGACAGGUGCUGCAUGGCUGUCGUCAGCUCGUGUCGUGAGAUGUUCAGUUAAUUCCGGCAACGAGCGCAACCCAACCCUUAGUUGCCAGCAGUUCGGCUGGGCACUCUAGGGGAACUGCCCGUGAUAAGCGGGAGGAAGGUGUGGAUGACGUCAAGUCCUCAUGGCCCUUACGGGUUGGGCUACACACGUGCUACAAUGGUGGUGACAGUGGGUUAAUCCCCAAAAGCCAUCUCAGUUCGGAUUGUCGUCUGCAACUCGACGGCAUGAAGUCGGAAUCGCUAGUAAUCGCGUAACAGCAUGACGCGGUGAAUACGUUCCCGGGCCUUGUACACACCGCCCGUCACACCAUGGGAGUUGGGUCUACCCGACGGCCGUGCGCUAACCUUUUGGAGGCAGCGGACCACGGUAGGAUCAGCGACUGGGGUGAAGUCGUAACAAGGUAACC